AUUUCCACAAGUCCUCCAUCUAGACCCACAACUACAACUAGACCCACAACUACAACAAGACCCACAACUACAACAAGACCCACAACUACAACAAGACCCACAACUACAACAAGACCCACAACUACAACAAGACCCACAACUAUUGCAACAAGACCCACAACUACAACAAGACCCACAACUAUUGCAACAAGACCCACCCAUGUACCCACAUUACCCGGAGUCUCCACCUCUACUCCUCCAGCACACACGUAGACUCACACACCAGAUUGGAAGAGCACUUUGAUAUCCUCAAAGAAUAAUUACACUAGUACAUCCUUAUGAAAAAGAAGUCGGGGUCUUUAAGUGGUUGCAUUCUGUAUCUCUAAGAAUGGAGCUUUGCAAAACACAGCAGAUGUGCGGUCAGGAGCUGAAGACAGUGUCUACAGAAUUGAAGACAGUCCUUAAACUGCUGAAUGAGUCCCAGUGGCCCUCUCCGGGCCUUCUGCCUGAGACUGGAAAGACAACCGGAUUGGACAGUGUGAACACCCUUUACAGCUCCAGGGAUAUUUUCUGUGUCAGUUCAUCCAGCAGUGGUGGAGAGGGUGACCCUCAGCUGUUUGUGCUCAAACUCACUAUUAACAUCAUCCUAAUCCUUAUAUCAAUACUGCCUCAGUUUCUCCAAUCACUGCAGUAUAUUCUUCUAUCAAACAUGAACUUUUUAGUAUUUUGUUGUUCCUCUAGUCAACACAGCAUCUGUAAUAAAGGAAAUAGA